UAGUGAUUAGUUUAACAAAAACAAAUGAUUUCGACUCAUUAGACUAUGGUCAACCAUAAUCACUAA
ensembl:Mt_tRNA